rnacentral:tRNA from 1 species
GCCUGAGUGGCUCAGUCGGUUAAGCGUCUGACUUCAGCUCAGGUCAUGAUCUCACGGUCCGUGAGUUCGAGCCCCGCGUCAGGCU